rnacentral:lncRNA from 1 species
AAAACUCAAUUCACCAUCCAUUUUCACCACAUUCUAUUCCCAUCCAUUCACACAAAAACAAAAACAAAAAACAUGCGAAAAACAAGCCAAGCCUCCUAAAUUUCUGUGUUAGAAUUCCAAUUGACCAUAAAAAAAUCCCACAUUCUCAUGCAAUAAAUAACCCCCUUCAUCCCACCAUGCAAAUCAUCUUCAAAAACAACACUCUUCUCUA